UUAAGCGACUAAGCGUACACGGUGGAUGCCCUGGCAGUCAGAGGCGAUGAAGGACGUGCUAAUCUGCGAUAAGCGUCGGUAAGGUGAUAUGAACCGUUAUAACCGGCGAUUUCCGAAUGGGGAAACCCAGUGUGUUUCGACACACUAUCAUUAACUGAAUCCAUAGGUUAAUGAGGCGAACCGGGGGAACUGAAACAUCUAAGUACCCCGAGGAAAAGAAAUCAACCGAGAUUCCCCCAGUAGCGGCGAGCGAACGGGGAGCAGCCCAGAGCCUGAAUCAGUGUGUGUGUUAGUGGAAGCGUCUGGAAAGGCGCGCGAUACAGGGUGACAGCCCCGUACACAAAAAUGCACAUGCUGUGAGCUCGAUGAGUAGGGCGGGACACGUGGUAUCCUGUCUGAAUAUGGGGGGACCAUCCUCCAAGGCUAAAUACUCCUGACUGACCGAUAGUGAACCAGUACCGUGAGGGAAAGGCGAAAAGAACCCCGGCGAGGGGAGUGAAAAAGAACCUGAAACCGUGUACGUACAAGCAGUGGGAGCACGCUUAGGCGUGUGACUGCGUACCUUUUGUAUAAUGGGUCAGCGACUUAUAUUCUGUAGCAAGGUUAACCGAAUAGGGGAGCCGAAGGGAAACCGAGUCUUAACUGGGCGUUAAGUUGCAGGGUAUAGACCCGAAACCCGGUGAUCUAGCCAUGGGCAGGUUGAAGGUUGGGUAACACUAACUGGAGGACCGAACCGACUAAUGUUGAAAAAUUAGCGGAUGACUUGUGGCUGGGGGUGAAAGGCCAAUCAAACCGGGAGAUAGCUGGUUCUCCCCGAAAGCUAUUUAGGUAGCGCCUCGUGAAUUCAUCUCCGGGGGUAGAGCACUGUUUCGGCAAGGGGGUCAUCCCGACUUACCAACCCGAUGCAAACUGCGAAUACCGGAGAAUGUUAUCACGGGAGACACACGGCGGGUGCUAACGUCCGUCGUGAAGAGGGAAACAACCCAGACCGCCAGCUAAGGUCCCAAAGUCAUGGUUAAGUGGGAAACGAUGUGGGAAGGCCCAGACAGCCAGGAUGUUGGCUUAGAAGCAGCCAUCAUUUAAAGAAAGCGUAAUAGCUCACUGGUCGAGUCGGCCUGCGCGGAAGAUGUAACGGGGCUAAACCAUGCACCGAAGCUGCGGCAGCGACGCUUAUGCGUUGUUGGGUAGGGGAGCGUUCUGUAAGCCUGCGAAGGUGUGCUGUGAGGCAUGCUGGAGGUAUCAGAAGUGCGAAUGCUGACAUAAGUAACGAUAAAGCGGGUGAAAAGCCCGCUCGCCGGAAGACCAAGGGUUCCUGUCCAACGUUAAUCGGGGCAGGGUGAGUCGACCCCUAAGGCGAGGCCGAAAGGCGUAGUCGAUGGGAAACAGGUUAAUAUUCCUGUACUUGGUGUUACUGCGAAGGGGGGACGGAGAAGGCUAUGUUGGCCGGGCGACGGUUGUCCCGGUUUAAGCGUGUAGGCUGGUUUUCCAGGCAAAUCCGGAAAAUCAAGGCUGAGGCGUGAUGACGAGGCACUACGGUGCUGAAGCAACAAAUGCCCUGCUUCCAGGAAAAGCCUCUAAGCAUCAGGUAACAUCAAAUCGUACCCCAAACCGACACAGGUGGUCAGGUAGAGAAUACCAAGGCGCUUGAGAGAACUCGGGUGAAGGAACUAGGCAAAAUGGUGCCGUAACUUCGGGAGAAGGCACGCUGAUAUGUAGGUGAAGCGACUUGCUCGUGGAGCUGAAAUCAGUCGAAGAUACCAGCUGGCUGCAACUGUUUAUUAAAAACACAGCACUGUGCAAACACGAAAGUGGACGUAUACGGUGUGACGCCUGCCCGGUGCCGGAAGGUUAAUUGAUGGGGUUAGCGCAAGCGAAGCUCUUGAUCGAAGCCCCGGUAAACGGCGGCCGUAACUAUAACGGUCCUAAGGUAGCGAAAUUCCUUGUC
rnacentral:rRNA from 1 species